AUUUUGCUAGCUCGUUUAUAAAUCUUUCUACGUGUUUCAUGGGUUUUAAUGAGAACCAAAUAAAUAUUUGUAAAUUUCAGAUUUACGGACUUUAUCGUGUCUGUAAGUCUGAGACUAUCUUUCUAACUUGAUUAAAUCUAUGGUUUGGAGACCAGACUUUAAAAUUAAAAUGAACAUUUAUAUUGUUAAGUCUUUUUAAGUAUUGACCCAGCAGUAUAAUUACAAUCUCAACCAAGUAACUGACAAGGGGCAAGCAAACAAAAAAUCACUGAUACAAUAAUUUUUGAUAUAACAUGUUUUCCUAAAAUUCUUAUUCUUACAGGUACAAUUUCCCUGAAAAAAAAAUUGAGAGUUCAUAUAAUUUGAACUGUUGAUAUGAAUAAUUUUUUGUUUACUGUCAUAGAUACACAACUGAUGUCUGUUGACGCAGACAUUACUGUUGGUAUUAAUUAUAUAUUACUGUAUAAUCUAAUUGUAUUUGAUUUUUUUACUCUAUAACUAGACUGAUAAUAAACAUUCACUGUCUU
rnacentral:sRNA from 1 species